rnacentral:lncRNA from 1 species
AACAUUACCGGCGAGCAUUUUCCAGAGGGUCCUUGGCCGCCAAUAAUGCAUGCAAUUUUGACGAAAUUUGUGCAUUAUUGAGGGCUUUUGGCCGCCAGUAAUACCUUGUCUUCUUGUAGUGUCAACCUUAAAAUGAUUAGGGAAGCCCAAUCUUUUAAUAACCUUGUCAGCCACAUCACCACUAAUUCUGGGUGCAAUGAUAACUAAAACAUCAACAUGAUUAAUAGAGCAAAAAUCGCGAAUCAUGGUUGGGAAGGAGCGAGACCCUGCUCCUCUGACAUUCCAAGAUUGCAAUAUUCUUCAUAAAAGCUAAUUUCAAGAAAAACACAUCUAGAACCCGGAGGCUUCUAGACCACGGGCGACGCCCCAUGUUCGGCUUGUUUCGCCACACCGUGGCCUUCCCCUUCUGCAUCCAUAGCAUCCUCAAAAGCUUCCUCAUCUUGUUGCACUUAAUACUAAGUGUUUGUCACAAUAAUCAUGCAUAUGACCCUUUUGUUUUCUAUUUUCAUUAUUAGCGUUGGUUUAGAUAAUGGAUAAGCAAUGUAAUUAAUUGUGGUUUGUGGGAAGCAACAAGCAUUAAUUUAAGUAUGAUGACUGCUCAAGGUUAUUUAAUCUGUAUGAAAAUGAUUUAUCAUUCCCC